rnacentral:lncRNA from 1 species
GGGCAGGGUCACUCGUCCGAACAGAGUCCUAUCCUACGCGGCGGAAGAGUGUGCCCUUUGACUUGCAUCGUCUACCUACCUCUGCCAUCCUCUACCAGCCGCAACUGCGAGGGCUGGAGGCUAGAGUGCAGUGGCGCGAUCUCGGCUCACUGCAACCCGCCUCCCGGGUUCAAGGGAUUUCUCCUGCCUCAGCCUCCCAAGAGCUGGGAUUACAGGUGCCUGCCACCACGCCCAGCCAACUUCAGGACUGAUUGAUCAUGACUUCUAUAAAGGAGCAGGCAGCAAUUAGCAGGCUCUUAAGUUUUUUACAGGAGUGGGACAACGCUGGCAAAGUCGCAAGGAGUCACAUCCUCGACAAGUUCAUUGAAACCAACCAAGGCAAGACUGCCCCUGAACUGGAGCAGGAGUUUUCCCAGGGAGCCAGUUUGUUCCUGGUACGCUUGACCACCUCGCUUAGAAUCACCUAUAUGACUGACUCAUGUUUAGAAAAGCUUCUCAGGUC